rnacentral:lncRNA from 1 species
GGCCCGGCUCGCGGCCCCGCGCCGCCCCUCCUCGGCCGGCCCGCCUCCCCCUCCCGUUACACCCGGGGGAAGGUGUUCCCGAGACCGCUCCCAUCCUCACCCCGCCUCCCGGCUUUCCCGGCUCCAGCCUCCGCCGGCGGAGCUUCUGUGCCAGACAGUUUCGACACUUUGCAAAGACAAAGACCAGAGGGAGGAGGAAAAGGAGGACGAGGAGGAAGAGAGAGAAGGAAGGGGCGAUGUGAGCUGGGGAAGGGGUGCGUGUUCGGGACACCCCCCGCUUAUUCUCCCCCUCAGCCCCUCUUCCCCUCAAAGCCCCAGAAACUUCCGCGUGGCUCCCACGGCGGGCGCUGGUACCACUUUCAGAUGCAACCGUUCGGACGCAGAAAUGCCGAUAGGAGCAAUGAGCAUCUCCAGGGGCUGUGGCGAGCAGAUGCUGUGACCUUGGUGACCAGGACAGCCAUCUGAGGACCAGGAAUGGAUACCCCCUCAGCCCACUGAGUGAGAGGCUGUUUUUCUGGAUUCUUCCAUGGAUGACGUUGGGAGGGGCAGGGCGAUGCUCCUGCCUCUUGGUCUCUUUGUAACUUGGCACGCUCUCCUGGGAUAGUCCAUCAAGAGGGAAUAGCACCUUCUCCUGCAGGGAAAAAUGCAGGCCUUUUAGAGUAUCAAGCAACCUCUCUGUUUCUUAAAAGGAAAAUCUUCUGAGCUCUCACGAAAACUGGUAAAUCCUAUCAUGACAAGGGCCUGCCAUCCCAAAGAAGGCCUGCAGUGACACUGCUGUGUCCUGGAGUGAGUGCUCAGCAGCCAACACUAUGACCCACAGGACAAAGCCGGCCUGACCAUGUUUUAUAAAUAAAGUUUUACUGGCACCCAGCCAGGCUCAUCCAUCAGGGUCGUCUGUAUGGCCCUUGCGACAGAGAAGGUGUGGCUUCGAAGCUGAAAGUAGUUAUGAUCUGGUCCUUAACAGAAAAAAUGUGCCAGGAGUUCCCGUUGUAGCUCAGAGGAUUAAGAACCCGACUAGUAUCCGCGAGGAUAUGGGUUCGAUCCCUGGCCUUGCUCAGUGGGUUAAGGAUCCGGCAUUGCUGUGAGCUGAGGUGUAGGUCGCAGAAAGACGUGGUUCGGAUCCCGCGUAGCUGUCACUGUGGUGCAGGCCGGCAGCUGCAGCUCUGAUUUGACCCCCUAGCCUGGGAACCUCCAUAUGCUGCAGGUACAGCC